rnacentral:rRNA from 1 species
CCGGAGUGGACGAACCUCUGGUGUUCGGGUUGUCAUGCCAAUGGCAUUGCCCGGUAGCUAAGUUCGGAAUCGAUAACCGCUGAAAGCAUCUAAGCGGGAAGCGAGCCCUGAGAUGAGUCUUCCCUGAUACUUUAAGUAUCCUAAAGGGUUGUUCGAGACUAGAACGUUGAUAGGCAGGGUGUGUAAGCGUUGUGAGGCGUUGAGCUAACCUGUACUAAUUGCCCGUGAGGCUUAACCAUACAACACCC